AGAUAACUAGUCUAAUAUAAGAUAACUGAUUUCGGCCUAGUUGAUCGUGAUUUAACUUCACGGUUAUCGA
rnacentral:tRNA from 1 species